rnacentral:misc_RNA from 1 species
CCUAGAGUUUGUGGACUUCGGUCUGCUACCUCUUACCCAUGUCUUUUGAGUACCUUCGUCUCCUCGGCGGGUCCGCCCGCCGGUUGGACAACAUUCAAACCCUUUGCAGUUGCAAUCAGCGUCUGAAAAACUUAUAGUUA